rnacentral:rRNA from 1 species
UGGGGAAUUUUGGACAAUGGGCGAAAGCCUGAUCCAGCAAUGCCGCGUGUGUGAAGAAGGCCUUCGGGUUGUAAAGCACUUUUGUCCGGAAAGAAAUCCUUGGCUCUAAUACAGUCGGGGGAUGACGGUACCGGAAGAAUAAGUACCGGCUAACUACGUGCCAGCAGCCGCGGUAAUACGUAGGGUGCAAGCGUUAAUCGGAAUUACUGGGCGUAAAGCGUGCGCAGGCGGUUUGCUAAGACCGAUGUGAAAUCCCCGGGCUCAACCUGGGAACUGCAUUGGUGACUGGCAGGCUAGAGUAUGGCAGAGGGGGGUAGAAUUCCACGUGUAGCAGUGAAAUGCGUAGAGAUGUGGAGGAAUACCGAUGGCGAAGGCAGCCCCCUGGGCCAAUACUGACGCUCAUGCACGAAAGCGUGGGGAGCAAACAGGAUUAGAUACCCUGGUAGUCCACGCCCUAAACGAUGUCAACUAGUUGUUGGGGAUUCAUUUCCUUAGUAACGUAGCUAACGCGUGAAGUUGACCGCCUGGGGAGUACGGUCGCAAGAUU